rnacentral:rRNA from 1 species
UGGGGAAUAUUGCGGCAAUGGGGGCAACCCUGACGCAGCAACGCCGCGUGCGGGAAGAAGGCAUUCGUGUCGUAAACCGCUUUCAGCAGGGAAGACAUCGACGGUACCUGCAGAAGAAGCCCCGGCUAACUACGUGCCAGCAGCCGCGGUAAUACGUAGGGGGCGAGCGUUAUCCGGAUUCAUUGGGCGUAAAGCGCGCGCAGGCGGCGCGCCAAGCGGGACCUCUAACCCCGGGGCUCAACCCCGGGCCGGGUCCCGAACUGGCGCGCUCGGGUGCGGUAGAGGAGAGCGGAAUUCCCGGUGUAGCGGUGGAAUGCGCAGAUAUCGGGAAGAACACCGAUGGCGAAGGCAGCUCUCUGGGCCGUCACCGACGCUG